AGCCAAUAUGUCUAUGCAGCCGUAUUCUGAUGAAGAGCUGAACUACUUCAAGUUUGCGUCGAUUGUCCUAAAGGAAUUCCCAGAUGCUCUGUGCAACAUAUUUGUGAACAUGUGGGACACCAGAGUUGCAACAAGUUCCACAUUUUGGGAUGACUCUUCUCUCGUACGCAAUAUACUUCACAACAAUGAGGCUCCAAACACAAAAAUCCCCACGAACAACUCAUUUAAAGAGUGGGACUGCACUGCACUAUUUCAAGCCACUCUGUAUGCAAGAACAUUUGCGCUACCAGACAGCACAGGAAAGAAAAAGACGCUUGGAGAAAUGUAUUUAAAAGGACGAAAGCCAGCCCCUGCUCCAUUCCACUCUGCAGUGAGAAGCUCGAGCGGAGAUGCAAAUGAAACGAUUGCACUUGCCAUUGAUCAGCUUCGUCUUUUACGAAACACUCUUUGUCAUACAACCAGUCAUUGUAUGAAUAAAGUCACGUUCGAUGACUAUGUCAAGCACGCCAAGGAUGCGUUCACUGCUUUGAAUUUUAGCACGACAUCUCUAGAGAGGAUUGGCAAUUUGAAGGAAUCGGAUUUUCCUACAAACGAAGUACAAAAACUCAAGGAAAACAUCAGUCGUCAGAGAAAUGACCACCAUCUGUUUCUUCAAAGCAAGGUUAUAGAUGAAAUGAGUGGAAUGAAAGAUGGAAUAAGUAGAAUGAAAGAUGAAAUGAAAGAUGGAAUGAAAGAUGAAAUGAGUGGAAUGAAAGAUGGAAUGAGUGGAAUGAAAGAUGAAAUGAGUGGAAUGAAAGACGGAAUGAGUGGAAUGAAAGAUGGAAUAAGUGAAAUAAAAGAUGGAUUUAGUAAAAUGAAAGAUGAAAUGAGUGGAAUGAAAGAUGGAGUAAGUGGAAUGAAAGAUGGAAUAAGUGAAAUGAAAGAUGGAAUGAGUGAACUGAAUCAAAAACUGAAUAGCAUUGAAGGAGUAUUAACACAGACAAAAGAAACCACAAGUAUGUUAUUUAUGUAUAAUUAUAGUAUUAUACCUCAACAAUUGAUUUUCCAAUCGGAAAGCUGCAUUUAUACCAUAUGAUCAAUAACUUUAUCGUUGAAUUCCUUCAGCUAUUGUUUUUCAGCCUCAUAUUGAACAUAAGUUGAUAUGCCUAGCUCCAGUGGGGGUAAUAGCGAACUUAAGCAAACUUAAUCCAGUACGGGGACGUGUCAAGUAACUGCC
rnacentral:lncRNA from 1 species